UACGGGGGGAGCAAGCGUUGUUCGGAUUUACUGGGCUUAAAGGGCGCGUAGGCGGGCUGUCCAGUCUGGGGUGAAAUCCCGCGGCUCAACCGUGGAACUGCCUCAGAUACUGACGGCCUCGAGGGAGAUAGGGGCAUGCGGAACUGUAGGUGGAGCGGUGAAAUUCGUAGAUAUCGGGAGGAACACCAGUGGCGAAGGCGGCGACCUGGGCCAAUACUGACGCUGAGGUGCGAAAGCGUGGGGAGCAAACAGG
rnacentral:rRNA from 1 species